GUAGGUGAACCUGCGGUAGGAUCAUUAAUAAACGGCGACGCUUUCGAGCUUAGCUUCUAUAUCCUAUGCACCUGUGAACUAUUUGCCUUUGGGCACAAACUUAAACAUAAUGUAAUGAAUGUAAACUAUUAUAACAAAUACAACUUUCAACAACGGAUCUCUUGGCUCUC
rnacentral:misc_RNA from 1 species